rnacentral:rRNA from 1 species
CAGCAGUAGGGAAUCUUCCGCAAUGGACGAAAGUCUGACGGAGCAACGCCGCGUGAGCGAAGAAGGUCUUCGGAUCGUAAAGCUCUGUUGUCAGGGAAGAACAAGUACCGUUCGAACAGGGCGGUACCUUGACGGUACCUGACGAGGAAGCCACGGCUAACUACGUGCCAGCAGCCGCGGUAA